GGUCUGGGAUGGGCUCGCGGCCUAUCAGCUUGUUGGUGAGGUAAUGGCUCACCAAGGCGUCGACGGGUAGCCGGCCUGAGAGGGUGACCGGCCACACUGGGACUGAGACACGGCCCAGACUCCUACGGGAGGCAGCAGUGGGGAAUAUUGCACAAUGGGCGAAAGCCUGAUGCAGCAACGCCGCGUGAGGGAUGACGGCCUUCGGGUUGUAAACCUCUUUUAGCAGGGAAGAAGCGAAAGUGACGGUACCUGCAGAAAAAGCGCCGGCUAACUACGUGCCAGCAGCCGCGGUAAUACGUAGGGCGCAAGCGUUAUCCGGAAUUAUUGGGCGUAAAGAGCUCGUAGGCGGUUUGUCGCGUCUGCUGUGAAAUCCCGAGGCUCAACCUCGGGCCUGCAGUGGGUACGGGCAGACUAGAGUGCGGUAGGGGAGAUUGGAAUUCCUGGUGUAGCGGUGGAAUGCGCAGAUAUCAGGAGGAACACCGAUGGCGAAGGCAGAUCUCUGGGCCGUAACUGACGCUGAGGAGCGAAAGGGUGGGGAGCAAACAGGCUUAGAUACCCUGGUAGUCCACCCCGUAAACGUUGGGAACUAGUUGUGG
rnacentral:rRNA from 1 species